rnacentral:rRNA from 1 species
UACAGAGGGUGCGAGCGUUAAUCGGAAUUACUGGGCGUAAAGGGCGCGUAGGCGGGUGCUUAAGUUAGGUGUGAAAUUCCUGGGCUUAACCUAGGGACUGCACUUGAUACUGGGCAUCUAGAGUAGAGUAGAGGGAAGUGGAAUUUCCGGUGUAGCGGUGAAAUGCGUAGAUAUCGGAAAGAACACCAGUGGCGAAGGCGGCUUCCUGGACUCAUACUGACGCUGAGGCGCGAAAGCGUGGGGAGCAAACAGG